rnacentral:tRNA from 1 species
GCCGCCAUGGUGAAAUUGGUAGACACGCUGGA